rnacentral:lncRNA from 1 species
AUCCUUUGCUCGCAAAUUCGCCUAUAAAAGGAAUGUUCUUCCAACUGCUUCGACACAAACAGCAACCACUGAUAAUUCACUCUGAAAACACAAAAUCUUUAACAUGGAGAGCAAGAAGAGCGCUUUGAUGCUACUACUAGCCCUGUUUGUCAUCUCUGCUAUGAUAGCGGCACCAGUGGCCGAAGCCCGAGAGCUCACCUCUACACAUGCUGAUGACAAGAACCUCAGCAACAUUCUUCUGGCCUAUGGCCGCGAUCAACUGUUCAAAUAUGCAUUCCAGCUCGAGGGCGCUUCGACAGCUAACUGCAUUGGCUAUUACUGCCUCUACACCAGCUGUUGCUCCGGCUGUCAAUGCGUUACUUCGUAUGAUGAGGUGCCGAUCCCUGCUUAUUGUGAGACUUCCUGCAAGGCCAGCACCUGAAGUGCUAGCUAGCAUUUGCUGGGAUUUGCAUGCAUGCAAAACGAAUAAUUGAAUAAAGUAGAUCGCGUUUAUUAUGUGUGAACGUACGUGUAUGCUAAUGUUACAGUCGAUCUGGCUGUGUGUAUCCCUUUUAUUCCGUUCAAUCUCAGUUUACCUCUCUGUGUUUGGUUUAAUUUUGUUUCCCCAGUUAAUUUGAUCGACCUGAACGCACGAAUUCAUUUGAUUUUAAUUAUCUAUAAGGUUGAUAUCAGCGAUGAUGAUAAUAAUACAAUAAGUUUUUUUCUUUUUUGUUAAAAAGAAAUCAAUCCAUUAAUCAAAAGCCACACGGCAUCGAAAAAUAUAAUCGAAAUCGGACAGACACGCUGAAUUAUAUCGCUGUUGAAUCCAACCUUCUUGGGGAGACAACUAAACGAUUUAAAUAUAUGUACUCGUUUUCAUCUGAUUGGUUUUCACCCGAUUGGCUUUCACCUGACUCUUUUGAACAAUCGACUAUAGAUGCGAUUUCAUAAUAACCUUCAAACCUGAAUCAAACCCAUAUAAAUCAUGCCGAUCUAUAACCUCGGUCAUGGAGAAUAUCAAAACUGACAAAACACACCAAAACAAAAACCAACUCUCACAAGAAAGAAGGAGAGACUAACAAAACUCAAAUAAAUUGAGAACUUAUUGAGAGGAAAACAAGAUUUCAAAUAAGAAACGGAAAAAAAAUCGGGGCUUUCCACUGACGAAAACCGAUGAAAACCCUCUUAAAAAACUUUAAUGGAGGCUAGGGGUCUGAGAGGGAGAGAGAGGGAGAGUAAUACAAUAAGUUAAUGAUUUACUCCGUUCAACUCUAUGGACUCUAUGAAAAUCAUUAUUUAAAUAAAAAUCUUGAAAAAGCAUAUAUGCAUGUUUGUGUAAGUAAUACAUUAUUGCAAAGCAUCAAUUGGACAUUUUGCAAAAUGUAUAAAAAGUUUAAAUUUUUUACCGAAAUAGCACUAUUCAUAUACUCUUUCCGUCCCAUUUUAGUUGUCACAUUUGGUUUUGUGCCGGUCAAAUUGACCAAAGUUUGAUUUAAAUUUAUUAAUAUUUUAUCAAUUGAAAAAAUGAAAAAAAAUAUGUUAUCGAAAAUUAUUUUUAAUCUACUUUAAGAUGUAAUUUUCAGUUUUUUAAAAUAAUGAAGGAGUGACUUGUAAUCUUCGGUCAAAAAUUAGUCAAUUUGACCAACAAAAAAGGAAAUGUGACAACAAAAAUGGGACGGAGGGAGUAACAUAUUUUGCAAAAUUACGAUAACAAAAUCAAUAUACUUAUAUAAAGGAGAAGCAUGGGGCGUGGCGCCUCUCUAAUUGCUCCGUCCUAUUUUUCUAUUUUUCUAGAAAUUUUUGGAUGAAAAAUAUCAUAAAUAAAAACUAAAUCAUGACAUAAAUUAAUCUGAUUCUAUUUCAUAUUAUUUAUGGAAUAUAGCAGCUUGCAAGUUUUUUAAUCUGAUUCUGUUUCAGAUUAUUUGGUAGAAAUUAAUCUGAUUCUGUUUUAGAUUAUUUAUGUAAUAUAGUAACUUGCAAGUUUUUUAAUCUGAUUAUGUUUCAGAUUAUUUAAUUAUGGAAAAUCAUCGAUCAUCAAUCAUCAAUAUAAUUAUAUAAAGGAGAACCAUGUGGCCAUGUGGCGUGUGGGUGGCGUCUCUCUAAUUGCUCCGUCCUAUUUUUCUAAUUUUCUAAUUUUCUGAAAUUUUUAAAUGAAAACUAUCAAAAAUAAAAAGUAUAUUUUGACUUAAAUUAAUCUGAUUUUGUUUCAGAUUAUUUAUGAAAUAUAGUAGCUUGCAAGUUUUUUAAUCUGAUUCUGUUUCAGAUUAUUUGGCAUAAAUUAAUCUGAUUCCGUUUUAGAUUAUUUAUGUAAUAUAGUAGCUUGCAAGUUUUUUUAAUCUGAUUCUGUUUUAGAUUAUUUAAUUAUUUAAUUAUGGAAAAUAGUAGCACACAAGUCUCUCUGCACCUAUAAAUACCCCUAUAGGUUGUAGGGUUUUAGAUCAUCUAAACACAACAUACUCUCUCUUUCUAUACCACGAUCCCCCGUUUUAUCCUAGGAAGCUAUCGUUCUACACAUACGGUGAGGAGGCGAAUAUGAUUUAUAAACAAUUUUUCUUUGCCUAUUUAUCUUCUCCAUCUAAUACAAUAAUGAGUUACACUAUGAUAGAUGUUUGAAUGGCGAUAGAGAUGAUUGAUUGACGAGAGUAAGAGCUUGUCAGAUGUGGUAGUAGACUGCUAUCUCAUGAAUUUAAAUUGAUGUUUUUGCGGAUAACUAAUCCAAAAAAAUUGGAGGAAGGAGUCACUAAGAUACACCUGCAUAGAUUGGAAUUCAAACGUCCCGACAUGAUUAAUGUUCCUAUAACUUGGACAUAAUGUUCAUCCCUAUUAAAACUGGAGAUGGUUUCGGAGUUGCAUCUCAAUAUCUUUUUGACUUUUACGCACUUAUGUUCUUGGAAGCUUACUGCAUGUUUUAUUGGUCAAUCAAUGUAUAUGGCUACAUGUCAUCAAUCAAUCUAUUAAAGAGCCGUAUGCUUUUUACAUGUAGGGCAUGUUGUAACAAUUUUAGCGAAAUACAUGACUACUUUAAAAAAACAUACAACUAAAAUUAACAUUCGUUAUGCUUUAAAUCGUUAAUUAUAUGUAAAAAAUUAUUUUCAUUUUUUCACUCAUGAAUUAUAGUCCAAUUUUUUAAUUUUAUAUAUUAAUAUUAGUAUUGUAUCGAGAUGUUUAUAAUAUAAAAUUUAUUUUAUUCUACAAAUAUUAAUUUUAAAUCAUUAAUAUAAUUUUUAUAGAUUUCCACAUAUUUAUUUAUCUUACAAAUACUAAUUUUGAAUCGUUAAUAUAAUUUUUAUAGACCGCCGCAACGCGCGAUUUUUCAACCAGGUAUAAACUAAUUUGCAAUAUUUUGAGCACAGAACAUUUAAAUAUCCGAGGUCUUCGACAAAAAGAGGCCUCCGUAUACUUUACUCAACCGACUCUCUAGUAUUAUUAAUCGGGUUUUAGAUGGCAAAAUCAUCGAUAUACUUAUAUAAAGGAGAAGCGAGGGGCGUGUAGGUGGCGCCUCUCAUAUCGCUCCGUUCUAAUUUUUUAAUUUUCUGGAAUUUUUGGAUGAAAAUAUCAAAAAUAUAGAACUACUUUUUUUAGUUUCGGGUAUAUUAGAAGCAAGUUUCAGAAUCUGAUUUUGUUUCAGAUUAUUUAUGGAAUAUAUUAGCUUGAAAGUUUUAAUCUGAUUUUGUUUCAGAUUAUUUAAUUAUGGGAAAGAGUAGCACACAAGUCUCUCUACACCUAUAAAUACCCUAUAGAUUGUAGGGUUUUGGAUCACCUAAACACAACCUCCUCUUUCUCAAUACCACAUCGCUCCGUUCUAUUUUUCUAAUUUUCAGGAAUUUUUGGAUGAAAAAUAUCAAAAAUUAGAACUACCUUUUUAAGUUUCGGGUAUAUUAGAAACAAGUUUCAGAAUCUGAUUUUGUUUCAGAUUAUUUAUGGAAUAUAGUAGCUUGAAAGUUUUGAUCUGAUUUUGUUUCAGAUUAUUUAGUUAUAGAAAAGAGUAGCACACAAGUCUCUCUGCACCUAUAAAUACCCCUAUAGAUUGUAGGGUUUUGGAUCAUCUAAACACAACCUCCUCUCUAUCAAUACCACAAUCCUACCUCUCCCUGAUGAUAGUUCUCUUGCUCGAUGUCUAACUUGGUGGUGCCGUUUCUUCCGCAACGAUAAGUGAAGGCUGUUUAUACAGUAUUAAAAAAAUAAAGGUUGUUGCAAGCAAAUGUAGUUAUAGACCGCUAUGUUGGAGUCGGCAAAUCCAAACACGGGAAAAAAAUAUAGUCUUGACAUGAUAUUGAUUGAUGAUAUCAAUAAAUUAAUUGUUAGUGAUGUAUGUUUGUUGGUUAUUAUUUUAUAAUAUUUGUUUUGUUCUUCAGACAUGUUUGUUGUUUUUAAUUUUUAUAUAAUUUACUUUGUAUAUUAUAGGAAAAAAAUUAUUAUGCAUUAUCUAUUUGCUCUGUUCAAGCAACUUUUAAGUGAAGACUGUUUAUACAGUAUUAAUAUAUAAAAGUUGUUACAAGUAAGGGUAGUUAUAGACCGCUAUCUCACAGAUUUAAGUUAGAUAUUUUUGUGUACAAUCAAUCAAAAAAAAUUGGAGUAAGGUGACAAUGUAAGAACAUGAUUACUUUUAUAAAACAAACACAAAUGAAAUUAAGAUUCAUCGUGCUUUAAAUUGUUAAUUACGUGUAUAAAUUUAUUUUCAUUUUUUCACCAUGAAUCAUAGUCCAAUUUUACAAUUUUAUAUAUUAGUAUUGGUAUUACAUCACGAUUUUAUAAUAUAAAAUUUAUUUUAUCCUACGAAUAUUAAUUUUAAAACAUUAAUAUACUUUUUAUAGAUAGUCACAAAAUUAUUUUAUUCUAAAAAUAUUAAUAUUAAAUUAUUAUUAUAAUUUUUAUAGACCGCCGCAACGCGCGGCUUCUCAACUAGUAUGAUUAUAUAAAUAAAACAAGUCAAAAUGUGGUUCAGUCAUCAGUGUGGCUCUUUCACGUUUCUAACCACUUUGAACAUCUAUUUUUCAAAAUUAACCACCUGUUUUUGCACUUUGCAGAAAUGACCACCUAUAUCCGGUCUCUCGGACGGAUACUACUAGCAUUUCUGUCCGACCCUCACCUGGGCGGACAAAACUGUCUCUUUUCUUUUCAAUAUAGUUAUUUAGAAGUCUUGUAAUUUUAUGUGAAAAUAAUAUUAUAUAAUAUAUUAUUAUAACAAAUAAUGUUAUAUCUAAAUAAUAUUAUAUAAUAUCAAAUGAUAUUAUAUAAAAUUAGUAUUAUACAAUAUCAAAUAAUAUUAUAUUAUAAUAUUAUAUUGUAACAAAUAAUUAUAUUAUUUUCUCAAAAUAUAUUAUUGUAUUAUUAUUUUGAGGUAUUAUAUUAUAAUAUAAUAUCAUUUGAUAUAUUACAUUAUAUUAUUUGAUAUAAUAUUAAAUUAUUUGAGAUAUUAUUAUUUUUCUAUUUUUUAUUGUUCGAUCAAAAAAUAAAGAAUAACUAUAUUUUUUAUUUUUUAUGUUUAUUAUAUUAUUAUAUAAUAUUAUUAAAAUUAAAAAGAUAUUAUAUAAUCCUGGAACCCUGAAAUUCUUAAAAUUAUGGUAUCAAAAGUGAAUAAAAAAAUAUGAUACAAGGUCACAAUUAACAUUGUGUUUAUAAAUAUUAUUCAGUAAACAUUAUUAUAAUAUAUAUAAUAUAGCGAUAAUACCUUGUACUCGAUUUUGUAGUCGCCAAUUUGAGAAUAUACACCUUAACUUCGGUUAUACCAGAAGAUCGAGUGGGUAUAGCAAAAGGUCCAGAUGAUUUCAGAGAGGUUAUUUUAUGAUUUUAAUAAAAAUCUAUUAAAAUAUUUGAAAGUCAUGAAUUUAUGAUAAAAAGUCUGUUAAAGUUUUUAAAAAUUAUUGCCUUAGGAGUCAGGAAAUUUUUUUUGAAAUUUUAAGAAGCCAAUAAGAGUCAUUAAAAGUCUAUAAAAUCCAUUAAAGUCAUCCUCGCAAAAUUUGUCAUUAAGUCAUGAUACAAUACCACCCCUAAGUUUAUGCGUCAGUUAAGGACAAAACCGACACUAGAAAUGGUUUUAAGCGACGGUUUUUAAUAUAAGCGACGCUAAAGAGCCGUUGCAAAAGGCAUUUUCCUUAUUAGUGGGAUCAAUAGGUUUAGCUUAUUGAGAGCAUCUCCAACGGUGUUGGCUAAAAAGUGGUUGGCUAAAUUGGAUCGGUAAGAUAUUAGAUAAAAUUUGUCGAAGAUGUAAGCCAUUUUGCUUCGACGGUACUGGCUAUAUUUCAGAAAUAGUUAGUUAUUAUUAUUUCAAAUUGUUAUAAAUAGAAUGUAUAUUAUAAUAUGGUAAUAAAUAAUACAAAAUCUUGCUACAGAUAUUGCUACAGGUCUGUAGUUGAUUGCCAAAUAUGGCCAAUAUCAAUUGGUUGGAUAUAUUUUUAGACAAGGGUUAUGUGUCGCGGAGUGAAGCAAAUUUCACACAUUAUCUAUAAUUUUUAUUUAUGAUAUAAUUUAAUGAAUUUUAGUUAAGGGUUUUGAUGGGUUGAAAAUACUCUCGGAGCUAUAUAUCAAGAACCCUAAUACUCCACGUGUAUGAAUUGCAUUGUCAUAAUCUAUAUACUUACAUGCAAAAUCGUGUUGUUGUAACGGAGCAUAUAACUUUUGAUUAAAUUUUCUUCCGAAGAUGUUGAAAUACCUAUUAUUCAAAGAAAGACUAAUGAAACAGAUGAAAAUAUGAUAAUCAAAAGUAAAGCUUGAGUUUGAAAUAGAAGAAGAUGCCUAUAUAUAGGUUUUACAAAGCAUAUGCUGGAAAAGAUGGAUUAGGUAUAUAAAGAGUAAAAUGCAUAAGGAUAAUUCUGGAGAAAUUUUAGAUAGACUAUUUGUAUGUGCUUGUGAAGAAAGGCGUGUGACUGAUAAACGAGAUGAUAAUGUAAAACAACACCUUCCAUAAACUAGAUUGGUUGCAAGGCAAAUUAAAUUGGUGUCUCUUCUGGAUCAAAUGGGAAAUACAAAUUAUUGAAUUCAUAUCUGAGAAUUGCGGCAUUAAACCGCUGUGCUACAUAAACGUGAUCAAAAGAAAGGGGAAAUUAGUAUAUGGACCCUUGCUCAUAGUACGUCUGGUUGUUGGCUCAUUACUCCAUCACUUUUAGUGCACUACCUGUUUUUCCUAAUACUAAGCCGCUGACAUUAAAUUCCCAUGCAAAUUUGAGAAUCCUUUGCUCACACAUUCGCCUAUAGAAGGAAUGUUCUUCCAACUGCUUUGACACAAAUAUCCACCACUGAUAAUCCACUGCGAAAACACAUAAUCCAUAACAUGGAGAGCAAGAAGAGCGCCUUGAUGCUACUACUAGCCCUGUUUGUCAUCUCUGCUAUGAUAGCGGCACCAGUGGCCGAAGCCCGAGAGCUCACCUCUACACAUGCUGAUGACAAGAACCUCAGCAACAUUCUUCUGGCCUAUGGCCGCGACCAACUGUUCAAAAAUGCAUUCCAGCUCGAGGGCCUUUCGACAAGCUGCAUUGGCUAUUUCUGCCUCUACACCAGCUGUUGCGCGGGCUGUCAAUGCGUUACUUCGUAUGCUGAUGUGCCCAUCCCUGCUUAUUGUGAGACUUCCUGCAAGGACAGCACCUGAAGUGCUAGCUAGCAUUUGCUGGGAUUUGCAUGCAUGCAAAACGAAUAAUUGUAAUUGAAUAAAUAGAUCGCGUGUGUUAUGUGUGCACGUACGUGCAUGAUAAUGUGACAGUCGAUCUGGCUGCUGUGUGUAUCUCGCAUUCGUUUACGCGAAUGCAGGGCGUUUCCCUUAAUUUUAUUCCGUUCAAUCCCAGUUAAUCUCUCUGUGUUUGGUUUAAUUUGGUUUCAGCAGUUAAUUUUCGUGGACAUAACUUCUAAUUUCUUGAUUAUGUUGUAUGACUUCGUUUAUAAAUUGAUUAUAUUUUGUUUAUAAU